rnacentral:lncRNA from 1 species
AAAGUGUGGAAAAUGUUCAGGUCCAAGGGGAGAAUGUGGACAAUCUCAUGUCAGAUGGCCCCAGUCUUUUCAGUAAGUCACCCUCAGAGUCACCUGCUGAUGAGUAGGAUGAAGCUCAGACAGAAGUGGAAAUGGAUUGGCAUGAACACGGGGAGGACGGAGAUGGUGACCAGGCGGAGAGGAACAGUGGAGAUGGUGGCUGCCUUUGCAGGUACAAUGAGCUUAUGAACAGCUCUGGCCCAGGUGGAGGAAGAGACAAAUCUGGCGCUCAGAGAAAAAGCAGCAGUGAGUUGGGGCCAGAAUCACUGAUCCACUGAGACAGGCCGUGGAGACAGAGGCACACAUGGAGCCUGCAGGAAGAAGAGCAGGAGGAGUCAGACACAGGGCAAGGUCGCCCAAGGCAAAGCUUGUAGACACUGAGCACCUACGGCCUUUCUUCUCGUGGCAACACAUUCCAGUUGCUGACAAAGUUCUAGGAAGAAACGAAUGAUCUCUCCGGCACCCAGCUGAAAAAGGAAGUGCAAAGUUUGGGAAAGGGGCCCAUUCUUGGGUGAUUUAUCUACCAUUGAAGAAGGGGCCUUAAGGAGGGCACAUCCUUUGUCCUGGCUCCUUCCACAUCACAGGGGGCAGGAGAGCCUCUGGAUGUGUCCAGUUGCAAAGCAGCUGAGGCUGGCGAUCUUCCCGUGAUUUCUCACUCAAGUAUUUGCCCUAACCAACAAGAUGGCUUUAAUCCAUAAAUGGCCCACAAUGGGUUUGUCUCACAUGCACUCGGUGCUGCCUGGGCUCCUGUUGGGUCAUGAGGUGAGAACACGGUGCCCUGCCCCCUCGCCCUGCUGCAGUGCCACACGCAUAGCCACCCUGCCCACCCUCCUUGCUCCUUCCCACCCUCCGCCUGCCCACCUGUCAGAGAAACUCUGCCUCCCCAUGUCUCUCGGCUCCUGCGGUGGCCUCCCUUCUCCCUAACUCUUCUGUUACACAAACUGAGGCUGGACCUGAAAGCACACAACAACAAUGCCAUUUAUCCCCAUCGUUCAAUCAGUCAUUCAUCUCUCCCACUACUCACGGGACCCUGGGCAAGUGACUUAACCUGUUUGUUAACAUGGAAUGAUUGUGAGAAUUAAAUGAACAAAUACAUGGCCAUCCAUGGCAUAUUUUACAUGUUCAAUAUGAGUUCAUUGUUAUCACUAUUGAUGUUUUCAUUAUAGUCUAUGUUAUCACUUAUCCAAACAUUUACUGAAAUCAGCUGUGUGUCAGGUACACUCUACAGAGUAUGGGAGGAAGAACGGCCAAGGAGGCCCAUGUUUCAGCAGCUCCGCACUGGAAUGGUCUGAACACCGCCCCUCUGUCUGUACUUCAAUGGGCCACUUCCUGUAAAGAAAAAAAUUCUUAUCCAAUAAAGCAUUUCUUUGCAGAAGUCUAGAAAUCCUUUGUAUUCUCUUGGGUCAUGACCUCUCUGUCAAUAUGAUUUCUUCCCCUGGGUUAAAGGACUCUGCCAAACAUGGGGAGCAGGCCAUAAUGAGAGAUGGGGUGGUAUGCAUUGUCUGGGAUGCUUUUCUUUGCCUUUGUCAAGUUGCAGAGAAGAAAGGCCUUCCGAGAACAGGGACAAGGCAGUCCCCUAUCCCACAAUGCAGACAUGACGC